CCCUGUUUGCAGCCAUAAAGCUCUAGAAGGUGUUCAUGGGAAAUUCAGCUGAAAGUGCAGCUAACAACUUCACACAGCCUUGGCUAAAAGCACCUGUCUGCCUGCACUCUUAUUUAGUACUGUCCUUUCAGAGAGCAUCUCAGACAUCCAGCUGUCUCCUAGUGGGAGGUCCACAUGUGGAGAACUGCAGAAGAAAUAAAUGCCUCUUGCUGUGUGGACUCUGCUUUUGGUUCCAAAGGAAACAGGAUCAUCAACUCACGCAGUCAGCCAGCUGAAGACCAAGGCAAGCAGUUCCCUGGGACUCGAGCUGCAGGGCCAGUAUGGAAGCCCCCCGGAGAUAUAAGCCCUGCUGAUGGACGGAGCUUCAGGAAGAUCAGCUCUUCUUCAGGCCAGCUGGUGCAACACAGCCUCUCAUUUCAGCCCCAUGGGGCCUCAGCACAGACUGGCCACGGUGCUCACAGGUCACAUGGGACACACUGAACAGGUAAUCCAGGGAGGCCUUGGGGGAGCAGAAAGCACUUUCAGUCUCAGGCUCUCACAGCAAAUCCCAGUCAAAGUCCUGUGGGCAGUGUGACCUUGCCGGUGAGAGCAGAGUUGGUGUGAGAGCAGCACACAUGAGAUGGCGUCCAGCAUGCAGAGCAGGACUUAGUAAAACCUGCAGGCAAAGCAAUGGAAAUUGAACCCUGAAGAUGUGGUUCAAGCUGUGAAGCCCUUCACAACUGCUUUCACUUCUCAUGUCAAAGCAACAAGUCCCAACCACUGAGACAUUUGCACAGGAGAGUCAGGAAGCGCUAAGGGCGGCCUCCAAAGAAAGUUAAAAUUCUGGUUAAAAAUAGCAGCUUUGGCUGAGCUUCUAGUUUAAGGAUUGGAAGUAAUGCUACUGGUAAUGGCAGAGUCCCUGGAGAGUUGGACGUGGGAAACAGCCCAGUGCCAGGACCAGAGGCAGUGGGCAGCUGAACACAGGAGGCUCCUGCUGAACACCAGGAGGCACUUCUAUGUCUUGUGGGUGCCUGAGACCCAGCAUAAGCUGCCCUGAUGCUGUGGAGUCUCCAAAGGCAGCCUGGAUGUGCUGCUGGGCACCCAGCUAUGGUGUCCCUGCUGGAGCAGGGGUUGUAGCAGACAGACUCAGAAGUCCCUACCAACCUCAGCCGUGCUGGCAACUCUGUGAAGCAGGCGCAAGUGUCUUGCUACCACAGAAAAAAAAAAGAAAUCUUGUUAGGUAGGGUUCACUAGUAACUUCUUUGCUGAGGGUGAUGGGACCAGUUGGAGGCUGCUGACUAUUCCCAUUGUUCACUGCUGCCUGAUACCAGCCAUCACAACUGGCCACACUGUGUCCUAGUGGAAGUCGGUCUUGUACCAUCGCUUCUGUGGAGUUAAACAGCCUUGGUCAGCAGGGGCAGAGGCAAAGAGUUUGUGUUUUCCCAGUAAAACAAAGCUUUGUCACGUGGUGUUGGACAAGUUUCCAGAAAACAAAUGAGAAAGCCGGGAUAUGCACACUGCUCCCAUUCGCCUUCCAGCCUGCACACUGCUGGCUCUCUGGGCUGCACAGUGGACAAAAUAAAUGCACUGUGGUCUUUAUGUAGCA
ensembl:lncRNA